CAUAGGAAUCUGCCUAGUAGUGGGGGGACAACCUGGUGAAAACCAGGCUAAUACCGCAUACGACCUACGGGUGAAAGCAGGGGAUCUUCGGACCUUGCGCUAUUAGAUGAGCCUAUGUCUGAUUAGCUAGUUGGUAAGGUAAUGGCUUACCAAGGCGACGAUCAGUAGCUGGUCUGAGAGGAUGAUCAGCCACACUGGGACUGAGACACGGCCCAG
rnacentral:rRNA from 1 species